rnacentral:lncRNA from 1 species
AAAAAAAAAAAAAAAAAAAAAAAAAAAUGUUUUCCAUGACUUCUAUUUUUUUUUUAGAAUUCUGUGAAUUUUAAUAGAGAUUUGUGCUAUGACACCACAAUUAGGAUGCAGAACAAAUAGUUCCUUAAUGUUUCAAAGGAAAAAUAUUAUAAUUGCCUUUUAAGAUAAUGUAUGUAUUCUUUUCAUGUGGAAAUAUUUGAAUUAUCUUAGAAAGUUCUAGUUUAUUUGUCAGCACUUAGAUUUUUAAAAUGCUUUUUGAGUCUAAUGACUAAGUACGUAAGGUUUUAUGAUCAUGCUACUUAGUAUGUUUCGUAGACAAUUUUUCACCUUUUAACAUUUCUGAAAUUGGGAUGUGUCUUAUCUUUGUUCGCAUUUCAUGAUUCAAAGAAGUACAGUAGUGGGGAAAACCAAGCAUGAUGCUUGUGGCAAUGUCAUGUUGCUUCCUGAGUAAGAUGUUCAUGGGCUUCUGGGUCUUCGUGUCUGGCAUCAUUGACUCCGAGGCUCUUUGCUAGACCUGGCAACUCAGAGAUGUGGAAAGCGUGGACCACCUUGCUCAAGGGUCUCAUGAAUGAGUGGGGAAAUAGACAGAGGAUCAGUGAUUCAGUGACUCUGAUACAGCGUGAUGAGGGCUGUCAGAGCAAUGACAAGACUUAAUAAGGUUCAGAGAACCUAGGACACCUGCAUGAUUUGAAGAGGAGGUGAUCUUUGAGCUGCAUUGUAAAGGGUGAGUAGGAUAGCUCAUCUAAAGCUGAGAAGGUGCAGGAUGGGAGGGAGGAGGAGAAGACGUCCCAGAGCUAAUCCUGAGAGAGGCUGCUGGUGAAUGGAAAUGAAAUGAAAGUGACAUGUGGGGAAUUUAGUUGUGCAAGGCAGAUCACUGAAGUCUGUUUCUUCGAUGUUCAGGAUUGUGAUCAUAAUCUUUUGAGCUUCUGGAAGAUAUUAAUGCUGGUGAUUCUCAAGGUAGGAUUUGAAUUUUAGAAAGGUGACCCUUUAAGCAGUAGGAAUGGAAUGGAUUGGGGGUUGAGGGGAACAAAUUUGGAGGCAGGAGAAUGGUUAAUAGGUUGGAGCAUUGAAGCUGGAGACAUGAUGGGCCUUGAAUUAAGGCAGUGGUAGUGAAGAUGGAAAGGAGGGACAGGUGCUUAUGGUGCUUGGGAGGUUGAACUGACAGGUGGUCAUUUGCUGGAUGUGAGGUCGGGGAGAGGCCAGAGUUAAGGACGACUCCCAGACUCCUGCCUAGGGUGGACAUUGGUGCCAUUCAGCCAUCAAGACCGCAGGUGAGAAGGUGCAGGGUUGGGAGGAAAAUGAGUUUAGUUUUGGCAUUGCGGAGCUUGCGGUGCCCGAGAUUUGUAUGAACAGGAACAUGGGUUCAAAAUGUGAGAGAGGAUUGCUCUGGGGUGUGAUUUGGGAGCCAUCGGGGAGUCAGUGAGAUUGCUCAGAAAGAAUGUGGGAUAAGAUAAGAGGGCCAAGGACAGAGUCCUGGGUCACAUCCACUCACCCGGUGUGAGCAGGGAGAGAUGCAGUCUAUGGAAGCUAAAGAGGUUUUAAGAGGGAGUGAGUGGGCCGGGCGUGGUGGCUCAUGCCUGUAAACCCAGCACUUUGGGAGGCCG